rfam:Zea mays cultivar B73 chromosome 8, whole genome shotgun sequence.
ACGACCUUACUUGAACAGGAUCUGUUCUAUAGGAUCGUACUGUUGCAUCUUUGAUUAAUAAGAAGGCAAGUACUUAAACCUGGUUGAUGAGAAUUUGACCUGUGGGCCAGAGCGUGAUUAACGGCCAGGACUCUUUGCCUUGGUGCAUUGUCUGGAGCUGCAGAUGAUCGUUCUUGGCCAGGCUUAAUGUCUGGCUAGGGUGGCCUACAGGCUGUUUGACAGGUC